GACGAACGCUGGCGGCGUGCCUAAUACAUGCAAGUCGAGCGAAGUUUUUCUGGUGCUUGCACUAGAAAAACUUAGCGGCGAACGGGUGAGUAACACGUAAAGAACCUGCCUCAUAGACUGGGACAACUAUUGGAAACGAUAGCUAAUACCGGAUAACAGUAUUUCUCGCAUGAGAGAUAUUUAAAAGUUGGUUAUGCUAACACUAUGAGAUGGCUUUGCGGUGCAUUAGCUAGUUGGUGGGGUAAAGGCCCACCAAGGCGACGAUGCAUAGCCGACCUGAGAGGAUGAUCGGCCACACUGGAACUGAGACACGGCCCAGACUCCUACGGGAGGCAGCAGUAGGGAAUCUUCCGCAAUGGGCGAAAGCCUGACGGAGCAACGCCGCGUGAGUGAAGAAGGAUUUCGGUUCGUAAAGCUCUGUUGUUAGGGAAGAAUGGAUAUGUAGUAACUAUACAUGUAAGAGACGGUACCUAACCAGAAAGCAACGGCUAACUACGUG
rnacentral:rRNA from 1 species